rnacentral:rRNA from 1 species
GACGAACGCUGGCGGCGUGCUUAACACAUGCAAGUCGAACGGAAAGGCCCUGCUUGCAGGGUGCUCGAGUGGCGAACGGGUGAGUAACACGUGGGUGAUCUGCCCCUUACUUUGGGAUAAGCCUGGGAAACUGGGUCUAAUACUGGAUAGGACCAUGCUGUAGGUGGUGUGGUGGAAAGAUUAGUUUCGGUAAGGGAUGAGCUCGCGGCCUAUCAGCUUGUUGGUGGGGUAAUGGCCUACCAAGGCGUCGACGGGUAGCCGGCCUGAGAGGGUGGACGGCCACAUUGGGACUGAGAUACGGCCCAGACUCCUACGGGAGGCAGCAGUGGGGAAUAUUGCACAAUGGGCGCAAGCCUGAUGCAGCGACGCCGCGUGGGGGAUGACGGCCUUCGGGUUGUAAACUCCUUUCAGCCAUGACGAAGCCCUUGUGGUGACGGUAGUGGUGGAAGAAGCACCGGCUAACUACGUG